CACGCGCAGCGCCCGCGCCACCGCGUAAUAUUUAUACGGCCAUAUUCAAUCGUACCUUAGUCGAGCGCUGGUUGAGGUCGUGUGUACACAAGAUGAAGUCGCUUCUACUUAUUUAUAUAAUGUGCGUUGCGUUGUUAAUAGAAGCUAGAUCUAUCGUUUCAAACAAUCUAUCCGAUUCAAAGAGACUAUACAGUGACACGAAUGAGUAUAGAAUAGCUUCAAGUGAACCUUUAGUGAGAACUAAACGUAAUCUCAUAAAGAGUGGCAAAUGUGCUAUUAAUUUCAAACCUGUGCCAAAUUUACCGUUUUUACUUUGUGUGCCCUGUUCCCAGUAAGUAAGCAUUAAAUACACAACGAAUCGAGGAAGAAGAUGCUGACAUUAGGAUCAAAAGUUUCUAUAAAACAAGAGAAUAAAAGACUACGCCAGCGAUUGACGAUUGGCAUUUUGUUACAAUAUUAUAUAAACUAAUAUAUUAUAUAAUAUUUUCGUAACAUAGAGGGUUUCGCCUACUUAAUACGUUACAUACUAUCUUGUAUAUGGAUUACGAGAUUAUACUUUUAAGAAAUCUUCUAGAAUCAGAUUAAAAUUCAUAAUUUUUCAUUCUCAACAGCUUUUUUAUUGUUAAAAAGGCAACAAAUUUUGCAUUUCCAUUUGAUGUCUUAAUAAGUUAUAAUAUGUUAUAAAUGAAAUUGACUUAUUUCAUAAAAUAGAUUUAACAAAAAAUGAUCGUGCUAUACCCGUUUCAUUGCCAUUUUUUUGUGCCAUAAACAUUAUGGUUUACAACGAGAAAUCCAUAAAUAUUGCGAAUGAACAAGGCGCUAUUAAUCUACUCUUAUUCAGAAGCUCUACUGUACUUCAAAUAUUUUCUUAUUUAUUUUAUUUUGUACAAUAAACGUGUGAUUCAAGAUUCAUUCUCAAAUAUGCUCAUACUUUUGUUGGAGACAGUAUUUUUGAAACGAAAACCUCCUUUUCAAUAUAUGCAAAGUAUGUGAAGGUACAUACGUAUAAUUUAAAACUUUGAUGUUGUUUGUUAAACGGCUCAAGACUUAGUAAUGACCAUUGAAAUGUUCUGACUUAUUCUCCAGACGUGCCAUAUGUGUCUUAGUUGAAACUAAACUUGCUAUGUGAAGUUUUUGCAAACAUUUACUCUAAAUAUUGAAAUUCCACUUUAUAGCACCUUUGGAAAGGCAAAAUGCAAUUGAAAAAUCUAUUCCACAUUCCUAACUGUUAUUUUAACUAUCUGUAAAUUAUUUGAUACGAAAUCGUAAUUCAUAGAUAUUAAGUAAAGAAUAAAAUUAGAUAAAUGUUUAAUUUAUAAAUAAAUUUAACUUAUUUUCAAAAACACCUGUCUAUCGUUUGGAACUUGAAUCACACUUAGAUAUAAAAAGCAUUUGACCAUUGACAUUUGUUAGAGUAGUAUUUUUGUGUGUGUGUGUGUGUGUGUGUCUGUGUGUGUUUGUUUGAGUAUGAAAAAAAACAAUUGUGUAAUAGAACAAAUUGGCAUCUUUUUAAUAUUUAUUUGACAAAAAAAUAUUAUAUUUUUUUUAUAAUUUUCAUAUUUAAAAUUAUUUGACACUUUAUGUAUCAACUUAUUAGAUUCAAUAUGUAUAAUGAGAAUGUAUUUAUUAUAUUUUUUUACAAUAAUAUAUUACCUCCAACGUA